GGGUGAUUAUUCAGACUAGUGCACACAUUUUACAGUUCAAACAAGGCAAUGCCGAGCGUGGCAUCCCCUCGUAUGUAACAUAUUGGGGACAAAUAUGGACACUAUAUUUGUAUAUGACACAUGCAGAAAAUGGUAAAUUGAAUAUGCAUAUUUGAUACAUAAACUAUUUAUUUAGAAAUCAACCAAAACAUUCAGUAACUGGAAAUACCUUUAAUAUUGUCUUUAGAACCAGCAGGUAAAAAAUGAGCAACCA
rnacentral:lncRNA from 1 species